rnacentral:rRNA from 1 species
UACGUAGGGGGCAAGCGUUGUCCGGAUUUAUUGGGCGUAAAGAGCGUGUAGGCGGUUUGGUAGGUCCGCUGUGAAAACUCGAGGCUCAACCUCGAGACGCCGGUGGAAACCAUCAGACUAGAGUCCGGAAGAGGAGAGUGGAAUUCCUGGUGUAGCGGUGAAAUGCGCAGAUAUCAGGAAGAACACCCGUGGCGAAGGCGGUUCUCUGGGCCUUACCUGACACUGAGGAGCGAAAGCGUGGGGAGCGAACAGG